rnacentral:rRNA from 1 species
GACGAACGCUGGCGGCGUGCCUAAUACAUGCAAGUCGAACGCAGUGGGGACGGGUGAGUAACACGUGGGUAACCUCCCAUCAGAGGGGAUAACACUUGGAAACAGGUGCUAAACCGAUAUUGGUGGAUGGAGCCGCGGUGGAUUUGCUAGGUGGUGAGGUAACGGCUCACCAAGGCCACGAUGCCUAGGCGACCUGAGAGGGGGAGCCGGCACACUGGGACUGGGACACGGCCCAGACUCCUACGGGGGGCAGCAGUAGGGAAUCUUCGGCAAUGGACGAAAGUCUGAACGAGGAACGGCGCGUUAGUGAAGAAGGUUUUCGGAUCGUAAAACUCUGUUGUUAGGGAAGCGGUAUCUAACCAGAAAGCCACGGCUAAAUACGUGCCAGCAGCCGCGGUAAUUC